AUUGGAAAUAUAUUAGAUUAUCUUAUAUAAAAAUACAUAAUCUUAUAAUUAACAAAAUUUGACGAAAAUUUAUUUAAAAAGAAUUUAUGAGAUUUAUUCAACUUCCUGGUGAUUUUCCACCACCUUAUGUAUCCAAAUGAAGCUUCUUUUUUUUUUUUGGUAACAAUGUUAAAGCUUUAUUACCAUUUUCAAGUUUUAGACAGAAAUACAGAGUUUACAAGAAGCAGAAGAUGCAAGAAAUUAAGCUAAACAUCAACUUAAUCUAAGCUAAACAAGGCAAACAACAUCUACAAGCAAAACAACAACAAGACCAUAGGCUACACCAAACUCAGCACAAACUCUUGCCACAAAAUUGGAACCACAGUUAAUCCGAGAACUGAACCCGGUAGAAUUGGCAGUACCCGAUGAUUAGUUCUUAAU
rnacentral:lncRNA from 1 species